rnacentral:lncRNA from 15 species
AUGUUUUUUGUCCGUGUCAUUCUUGGGACAAUGUUUCCCGACCGCGUCUCCGUUUGGGCGCAACAAUGUGGCGGGUCUAUUGUUUACACCCAAGAUCAGCUGUUGUCACUACAACCAUUGGCGCUGAUGCAGGAGAGGCCUGAAAUCCCCAGAGAACUGAGGAGGAAGUACAGGGGAUGUAAGGCUGGAUGUAAACACUGGGAAAAGAAGCGGAGAUAUAAACCAUCUCUCCUUUCCAUCACCACAGGGAACGUGAGGUCGCUAGCUAAUAAGAUGGACAAGCUGGCGGGCUUGGUGAGGACUCAGCGGGUGUAUCGUGAGAGCAGCAUGCUGUGUUUCACGGAGACGUGGCUCCACAAGGACAUUCCGGACUCUAAUGCAACUGUGGACGGCUGUCAGACUGUUCGGGUGGACAGGAGUCACCAUGAGAGUGGCAAGAGAAAAGGUGGGGGACUUGCUAUUCUUAUUAACAACAAGUGGUGUCAUCGUGGUCACGUUACUGUAAAGGAGCGUGUGUGCAGCCCGGACACUGAACUGCUUGCCGUGAGUCUGCGGCCAUAUUAUCUGCCGAGGGAGUUCUCACACGUGAUCAUCCUGGUUGUUUACAUUCCUCUGACCGCAAACGUGGCGCGCGCGAGUGUCAUCAUCCACACCGUCGUCGCGGGACUCCAGAUACGGCACCCAGACGCAUUCAUCGCGAUAUCUGGGGACUUCAAUCACAUCACUCUGGCAGCAACACUGCCCACUUUCAAGCAGUUUGUGGACUCUCCCACCAGGGAAAACAAGACACUGGACCUGCUGUAUGCCAAUGUUAAGGAGGCUUACAGCUCCACUGCCCUUCCUCCUCUUGGAAGAUCAGACCACAACCUCAUCCACCUGCAAGCCCUGUAUAAGCCCCAAGUCCAGCGGCUUCCUGUGACCACCAGGACUGUGAGGAGAUGGUCACAGGAGACCGAUGAAGCUAUGCAAGGCUGCUUUGAACUAACAGACUGGGAGUUGCUCUGUGAUUCACAUGGAGAGGACCUUGAUGACCUCACAGACUGCAUAACGGGGUACAUCAACUUCUGUGUGGACAGUGUUGUUCCUACAGUGACUGUACGCUGUUUCCCCAAUAACAAGCCGUGGGUCACCAGAGACAUCAAGGUCCUGCUGAAUGAGAAGAAGAGGGCCUUCAGAGAUGGGGACAGGGAGCAGAUGAGGCGGGUUCAGAGGGAGCUUAAGGACAGGAUCCAACAGGGUAAAGACAGCUACAGGAGGAAGCUGGAGAACAAACUCCAGCAAAACAACUUGAAGGAUGUGUGGAACGGCAUGAGGAGCAUCACUGGCUACAAACCAUCUGGCAGCCAGACAAUAGGAGGUGGUACUGAACGGGCCAACGAGCUGAAUCUGUUUUUCAACAGAUUUGAUGAGAGGUCUCCGGACUACCCCUCCCCCAGCUCCUCUACAACGAUCCACCUCCAAACCUCCAGCCCUGCUGCCCCCCUCCCCCUCCAUUCCUUCCUGACUACGCCCUACCUGUCCUCUCCCCCCCACCAUCACCUCUCCUCACCCCCAUCAACACACACGGGAGACAGACCUUCACUGCAGAGCAGGUCCCUGUGA